rnacentral:sRNA from 1 species
UGACUGUUCAGCUCAAUAGUUCGCUUC